rnacentral:rRNA from 1 species
AAACAUUGCUUCCUGAAAAGAAUAGGAAGUAAUUCCUGCCCAGUGACACUUAUCUGUUAAACGGCCGCGGUAUCCUAACCGUGCAAAGGUAGCAUAAUCACUUGCUCAUUAAUUGUGGGCUAGAAUGAAUGGAUUAACGAAAAUUAAGACUGUCUCUUUUUAUAUACAAAAAAUUAAUUUUUAAGUGAAGAAGCUUAAAUAUGUUCGAAAGACAAGAAGACCCUAUAGAGCUUUAUUUAAAAUAAAUUUUUGUUUACUACAAAUUGGUUGGGGCGACCAAGGAUUAAGCUUAUCAUCCUUUAUACAUAAGAUUUAUUAAUCUUGAGAGAGAUCCUAAAUAUAGAUCACAAGAAUAAGCUACCUUAGGGAUAACAGGCUAAUUUCAUUUAAAAGUUCUUAUUUAAAAUGGAGUUUGGCACCUCGAUGUUGGCUUAGGGAUUCUAGAUAGCGCAAAAGCUAUAGAAGAAGGUUUGUUCAACCAAUAACUCCCUACGUGAU